rnacentral:rRNA from 1 species
UACGUAGGGUGCAAGCGUUGUCCGGAAUUAUUGGGCGUAAAGAGCUCGUAGGCGGUCUGUUGCGUCGGCCGUGAAAACCUGGGGCUUAACUCUGGGCGUGCGGUCGAUACGGGCAUCACUAGAGUUCGGCAGGGGAGACUGGAAUUCCUGGUGUAGCGGUGAAAUGCGCAGAUAUCAGGAGGAACACCGGUGGCGAAGGCGGGUCUCUGGGCCGAUACUGACGCUGAGGAGCGAAAGCAUGGGUAGCGAACAGG